rnacentral:rRNA from 1 species
UGACAUAAGUAACGAUAAAGCGGGUGAAAAGCCCGCUCGCCGGAAGACCAAGGGUUCCUGUCCAACGUUAAUCGGGGCAGGGUGAGUCGACCCCUAAGGCGAGGCCGAAAGGCGUAGUCGAUGGGAAACGGGUUAAUAUUCCCGUACUUGGUGUUACUGCGAAGGGGGGACGGAGAAGGCUAUGUUGGCCGGGCGACGGUUGUCCCGGUUUAAGCGUGUAGGUGUGUGUUCCAGGUAAAUCCGGUUCACUUUAACACUGAGGCGUGAUGACGAGGCACUACGGUGCUGAAGCAACAAAUGCCCUGCUUCCAGGAAAAGCCUCUAAGCAUCAGGUAACACGAAAUCGUACCCCAAACCGACACAGGUGGUCAGGUAGAGAAUACCAAGGCGCUUGAGAGAACUCGGGUGAAGGAACUAGGCAAAAUGGUGCCGUAACUUCGGGAGAAGGCACGCUGACACGUAGGUGAAGUGAUUUACUCAUGGAGCUGAAGUCAGUCGAAGAUACCAGCUGGCUGCAACUGUUUAUUAAAAACACAGCACUGUGCAAACACGAAAGUGGACGUAUACGGUGUGACGCCUGCCCGGUGCCGGAAGGUUAAUUGAUGGGGUCAGCGCAAGCGAAGCUCCUGAUCGAAGCCCCGGUAAACGGCGGCCGUAACUAUAACGGUCCUAAGGUAGCGAAAUUCCUUGUCGGGUAAGUUCCGACCUGCACGAAUGGCGUAAUGAUGGCCAGGCUGUCUCCACCCGAGACUCAGUGAAAUUGAACUCGCUGUGAAGAUGCAGUGUACCCGCGGCAAGACGGAAAGACCCCGUGAACCUUUACUAUAGCUUGACACUGAACAUUGAGCCUUGAUGUGUAGGAUAGGUGGGAGGCUUUGAAGUGUGGACGCCAGUCUGCAUGGAGCCGACCUUGAAAUACCACCCUUUAAUGUUUGAUGUUCUAACGUGGACCCGUUACCCGGGUUGCGGACAGUGUCUGGUGGGUAGUUUGACUGGGGCGGUCUCCUCCUAAAGAGUAACGGAGGAGCACGAAGGUUGGCUAAUCCUGGUCGGACAUCAGGAGGUUAGUGCAAUGGCAUAAGCCAGCUUGACUGCGAGCGUGACGGCGCGAGCAGGUGCGAAAGCAGGUCAUAGUGAUCCGGUGGUUCUGAAUGGAAGGGCCAUCGCUCAACGGAUAAAAGGUACUCCGGGGAUAACAGGCUGAUACCGCCCAAGAGUUCAUAUCGACGGCGGUGUUUGGCACCUCGAUGUCGGCUCAUCACAUCCUGGGGCUGAAGUAGGUCCCAAGGGUAUGGCUGUUCGCCAUUUAAAGUGGUACGCGAGCUGGGUUUAGAACGUCGUGAGACAGUUCGGUCCCUAUCUGCCGUGGGCGCUGGAGAACUGAGGGGGGCUGCUCCUAGUACGAGAGGACCGGAGUGGACGCAUCACUGGUGUUCGGGUUGUCAUGCCAAUGGCACUGCCCGGUAGCUAAAUGCGGAAGAGAUAAGUGCUGAAAGCAUCUAAGCACGAAACUUGCCCCGAGAUGAGUUCUCCCUGAGACUUAGAGUCUCCUGAAGGAACGUUGAAGACGACGACGUUGAUAGG